rnacentral:lncRNA from 1 species
ACAGUACGACUAUAAACGAGGUUAUGCCACAAAUAAAAGAAUAACGAAAAUAGGGAAGACAAACGUUCACAUAAAUAUUUCGUAAAGUAACACAAGGUCUAAAAUCAAAAAACGCAGCCUAUCAAGCAUACCAACUAAGAACGGAAAAAAGUUAUAAAGCAGUCAUUAAAGGCUUACAUCUGAAAACAAA